rnacentral:tRNA from 1 species
CGCGGGGCAUACUAGGGCUCAUAACCCAAAGGUCGCAGGUUCAAAUCCUGCCCCCGCAACCA